rnacentral:rRNA from 1 species
UACGGGGGGGGCAAGCGUUGUUCGGAAUUACUGGGCGUAAAGGGCUCGUAGGCGGCCAACUAAGUCAGACGUGAAAUCCCUCGGCUUAACCGGGGAACUGCGUCCGAUACUGGUGGGCUUGAAUUCGGGAGAGGGAUGCAGAAUUCCAGGUGUAGCGGUGAAAUGCGUAGAUAUCUGGAGGAAUACCGGUGGCGAAGGCGGCAUCCUGGACCGAGAUUGACACUGAUGAGCGAAAGCUAGGGGAGCAAACGGG